UUGCCCUAGUAACGGCGAGUGAAGCGGCAACAGCUCAAAUUUGAAAUCUGGCUUUCGGGCCCGAGUUGUAAUUUGUAGAGGAUACUUUUGAUGCGGUGCCUUCCGAGUUCCCUGGAACGGGACGCCAUAGAGGGUGAGAGCCCCGUCUGGUUGGAUGCCAAAUCUCUGUAAAGUUCCUUCGACGAGUCGAGUAGUUUGGGAAUGCUGCUCUAAAUGGGAGGUAUAUGUCUUCUAAAGCUAAAUAUUGGCCAGAGACCGAUAGCGCACAAGUAGAGUGAUCGAAAGAUGAAAAGCACUUUGAAAAGAGAGUUAAAAAGUACGUGAAAUUGUUGAAAGGGAAGCGUUUAUGACCAGACUUGGACUUGGUUAAUCAUCUGGGGUUCUCCCCAGUGCACUUUUCCAGUUCAGGCCAGCAUCAGUUUUCGCCGGGGGAUAAAGGCUUCGGGAAUGUAGCUCUCUUCGGGGAGUGUUAUAGCCCGUUGUGUAAUACCCUGGCGGAGACUGAGGUUCGCGCUUCUGCAAGGAUGCUGGCGUAAUGGUCAUCAACGACCCGUCUUGAAACACGGACCAAGGAGUCGUCUUCGUAUGCGAGUGUUCGGGUGUCAAACCCCUACGCGUAAUGAAAGUGAACGCAGGUGAGAGCUUCGGCGCAUCAUCGACCGAUCCUGAUGUUCUCGGAUGGAUUUGAGUAAGAGCAUACGGGGCCGGACCCGAAAGAAGGUGAACUAUGCCUGUAUAGGGUGAAGCCAGAGGAAACUCUGGUGGAGGCUCGCAGCGGUUCUGACGUGCAAAUCGAUCGUCAAAUAUGGGCAUGGGGGGCGAAAGACUAAUCGAACCUUCUAGUAGCUGGUUUCCGCCGAAGU
rnacentral:rRNA from 1 species